GAGUACACGUGGGUGAUCUGCCCUGCACUUCGGGAUAAGCCUGGGAAACUGGGUCUAAUCCCGGAUAUGACCUUCGGCUGCAUGGCUGAGGGUGGAAAGGUUUACUGGUGCAGGAUGGGCCCGCGGCCUAUCAGCUUGUUGGUGGGGUAAUGGCCUACCAAGGCGACGACGGGUAGCCGACCUGAGAGGGUGACCGGCCACACUGGGACUGAGACACGGCCCAGACUCCUACGGGAGGCAGCAGUGGGGAAUAUUGCACAAUGGGCGAAAGCCUGAUGCAGCGACGCCGCGUGAGGGAUGACGGCCUUCGGGUUGUAAACCUCUUUCAGCAGGGACGAAGCGAAAGUGACGGUACCUGCAGAAGAAGCACCGGCCAACUACGUGCCAGCAGCCGCGGUAA
rnacentral:rRNA from 2 species